AAGACUCUACUUUCAGGGAUCAUUUCUUUAGUCUGGAACUAGAGGAUUGUGUUUCUACAGAGGUUGGUCUGGCUGUCCAUGAUGAUGAAGAUGUUUCCUUCAGAGCAGGAAGCUGGUGAGAAGAUGAGAAUCUUCUUCACUGAUGAAGACUGUUCAGUGUUUCUGGAUGUGACACUGAAGGAGGAAACAUUGUCUGAGUGGA
rnacentral:snoRNA from 1 species